UAAGGAAUAUUGGUCAAUGGACGCAAGUCUGAACCAGCCAUGCCGCGUGGAGGAUGAAGGUCCUCUGGAUUGUAAACUUCUUUUAUCUGGGAAGAAACCCACAUUAUCCAGUGUGGUUGACGGUACCAGAUGAAUAAGCACCGGCUAACUCCGUGCCAGCAGCCGCGGUAAUACGGAGGGUGCAAGCGUUAUCCGGAUUCACUGGGUUUAAAGGGUGCGUAGGCGGGUUGGUAAGUCCGUGGUGAAAUCCCCAAGCUUAACUUGGGAACUGCCGUGGAUACUAUCAAUCUUGAAUAUCGUGGAGGUAAGCGGAAUAUGUCAUGUAGCGGUGAAAUGCUUAGAUAUGACAUAGAACACCAAUUGCGUAGGCAGCUUACUACACGAUCAUUGACGCUGAGGCACGAAAGCGUGGGGAGCAAACAGG
rnacentral:rRNA from 1 species